UACGUAGGGUGCGAGCGUUAUUCGGAAUUACUGGGCGUAAAGCGUGCGCAGGCGGUUCGUUAAGUCAGAUGUGAAAGCCCCGGGCUCAACCUGGGAACUGCAUUUGAAACUGGCGGGCUUGAGUGUGGCAGGGGGGGGUGGAAUUCCGCGUGUAGCAGUGAAAUGCGUAGAGAUGCGGAGGAACACCGAUGGCGAAGGCAGCCCCCUGGGCCAACACUGACGCUCAGGCACGAAAGCGUGGGGAGCAAACAGG
rnacentral:rRNA from 1 species